GGGUGCUAUACUGCAGUCGACGAACUCUGGUAUUGAUUGGUGCUUGCAUCAUGAUUUACAUUUGAGUGAGUGGCGAACUGGUGAGUAACACGUGGGAAACCUGCCCAGAAGCGGGGGAUAACACCUGGAAACAGAUGCUAAUACCGCAUAACAACUUGGACCGCAUGGUCCGAGUUUGAAAGAUGGCUUCGGCUAUCACUUUUGGAUGGUCCCGCGGCGUAUUAGCUAGAUGGUGAGGUAACGGCUCACCAUGGCAAUGAUACGUAGCCGACCUGAGAGGGUAAUCGGCCACAUUGGGACUGAGACACGGCCCAAACUCCUACGGGAGGCAGCAGUAGGGAAUCUUCCACAAUGGACGAAAGUCUGAUGGAGCAACGCCGCGUGAGUGAAGAAGGGUUUCGGCUCGUAAAACUCUGUUGUUAAAGAAGAACAUAUCUGAGAGUAACUGUUCAGGUAUUGACGGUAUUUAACCAGAAAGCCACGGCUAACUACGUGCCAGCAGCCGCGGUAAUACGUAGGUGGCAAGCGUUGUCCGGAUUUAUUGGGCGUAAAGCGAGCGCAGGCGGUUUUUUAAGUCUGAUGUGAAAGCCUUCGGCUCAACCGAAGAAGUGCAUCGGAAACUGGGAAACUUGAGUGCAGAAGAGGACAGUGGAACUCCAUGUGUAGCGGUGAAAUGCGUAGAUAUAUGGAAGAACACCAGUGGCGAAGGCGGCUGUCUGGUCUGUAACUGACGCUGAGGCUCGAAAGUAUGGGUAGCAAACAGGAUUAGAUACCCUGGUAGUCCAUACCGUAAACGAUGAAUGCUAAGUGUUGGAGGGUUUCCGCCCUUCAGUGCUGCAGCUAACGCAUUAAGCAUUCCGCCUGGGGAGUACGGCCGCAAGGCUGAAACUCAAAGGAAUUGACGGGGGCCCGCACAAGCGGUGGAGCAUGUGGUUUAAUUCGAAGCUACGCGAAGAACCUUACCAGGUCUUGACAUACUAUGCAAAUCUAAGAGAUUAGACGUUCCCUUCGGGGACAUGGAUACAGGUGGUGCAUGGUUGUCGUCAGCUCGUGUCGUGAGAUGUUGGGUUAAGUCCCGCAACGAGCGCAACCCUUAUUAUCAGUUGCCAGCAUUAAGUUGGGCACUCUGGUGAGACUGCCGGUGACAAACCGGAGGAAGGUGGGGAUGACGUCAAAUCAUCAUGCCCCUUAUGACCUGGGCUACACACGUGCUACAAUGGAUGGUACAACGAGUUGCGAACUCGCGAGAGUAAGCUAAUCUCUUAAAGCCAUUCUCAGUUCGGAUUGUAGGCUGCAACUCGCCUACAUGAAGUCGGAAUCGCUAGUAAUCGCGGAUCAGCAUGCCGCGGUGAAUACGUUCCCGGGCCUUGUACACACCGCCCGUCACACCAUGAGAGUUUGUAACACCCAAAGUCGGUGGGGUAACCUUUUAGGAACCAGCCCGACG
rnacentral:rRNA from 1 species